AGAAACUGCAGCUUGAAAGCAUCACCAGGUCAGACUCUAUUGUCCAAUAUACAGUCACCAGCAGAUGAGGCACCGAGCGCUGGGAAUUCACAACCUGGCAGCUUGAGCAUGGGGCAGAUGUCAAAUCCAGAGUUUCUUGUACAGAGUCGGAGCUUCUGUGAAAAGCAAAGUGAAUUUUAGAUGCGAUCACCUGCAAAACAUCUGCUGGCUUUGAUUUUAUGUUUAUUGCCAAAAGUCGAAAGAACAGCGAUUUCUAACCGUUAAUUGUCGGAAUUUAGGCAAGACGAAAAAAA